UGAGCAACCUGCCCUUGACUCUGGAAUAACAGUUGGAAACAGCUGCUAAUACCGGAUACGACCUCCGACGGCAUCAUCUGGAGGUGGAAAGCUCCGACGGUCAAGGAUGGGCUCGCGGCCUAUCAGCUUGUUGGUGAGGUAACGGCUCACCAAGGCUUCGGACGGGUAGCCGGCCUGGAGAGGGCCGACCGGCCACACGUGGGACUGAGACACGGCCCAGACCUCCGUACGGGGAGCAG
rnacentral:rRNA from 1 species